rnacentral:rRNA from 1 species
GAUGAACGCUGGCGGCGUGCCUAAUACAUGCAAGUCGAGCGAACGGACGAGAAGCUUGCUUUUCUGAUGUUAGCGGCGGACGGGUGAGUAACACGUGGAUAACCUACCUAUAAGACUGGGAUAACUUCGGGAAACCGGAGCUAAUACCGGAUAAUAUUUUGAACCGCAUGGUUCAAAAGUGAAAGACGGUCUUGCUGUCACUUAUAGAUGGAUCCGCGCUGCAUUAGCUAGUUGGUAAGGUAACGGCUUACCAAGGCAACGAUGCAUAGCCGACCUGAGAGGGUGGUCGGCCCCCCUGGAACUGAGACACGGUCCAGACUCCUACGGGAGGCAGCAGUAGGGAAUCUUCCGCAAUAGGCGAAAGCCUGACGGAGCAACGCCGCGUGAGUGAUGAAGGUCUUCGGAUCGUAAAACUCUGUUAUUAGGGAAGAACAUAUGUGUAAGUAACUGUGCACAUCUUGACGGUACCUAAUCAGAAAGCCACGGCUAACUACGUG